CCCUUUCCUGGAAAAAUGGUUGCCAUCAUCCACGUUGAGAAAGAAUCCACUCGAUAUUGUCGAAAUAUGAAUCGUAGACGAAUAAAAUCGAAACAGGCGACUCUAAAUCAAUGCAGAGUGCAUUCACUGAUUUGUAAGUACAAUUAUUUUUUACAUAUUAUUGCUUAUUUUCGUUGGAGUGAAAUCAAACGUUCACCAAAUAAAAAUCGUUUUUACUGACCUAUUAAGUUUUACUUCGGAAUCGACUGUUCCGUGAGCAUCAAUAUUAUCACAAAUGUUAAUAUGCCUUUCCCAUAGAUUCAAUAUCGACUUCCGAUGGAUGCUAUUGUCAAAUAUAGCCGAAAGUUCCGAUUUGUAAUUUGUAUCUAUCAUAUCUUGGCCUUUAAGGUGAAAAGCUCCAAAAACAAAUGAUAUUUCAAUAGUAGAUAAGUACACAGCUGUAUUGUAUGCACAUAAAGCGAACGGGGUCAAUUCAUUUUAGUUCCUUUGAUCUUUAUUUCAUAAUGCGCAAUAAUAUCUAUUAAAAUUUUAUUACUGUUAAGUUUGUUACUGUCGAACAGCGACCGUUGCAACCACAGAUUAGACAGAUGGGAAGCUAUUCCACGUGACUGGAAACAUGUACGUCACAAAUAGAUCGUAACGCCACGGAUAAUGAUAGAACGGAUACGAAAGUCCCAUAGACUACUAUUGAACCGCUUUUCGGACUCCCUCUAGCGGUUGCUGGAAAGAAGUAUAUUGUUGCGGGCAACCGACAUCCAGGGGAAAAAUCGAACUAUUUGUACUAUACUAUACGGCCCCGGGACGAUAGGAAACGACACAGGCUUAUGGCCUACCUGCGGUGGCGGUG
rnacentral:lncRNA from 1 species